AACGAACGCUGGCGGCAGGCUUAACACAUGCAAGUCGAGCGCUGUAGCAAUACAGAGCGGCAGACGGGUGAGUAACGCGUGGGAACAUACCCUCCGGUUCGGAAUAACUCAGGGAAACUUGAGCUAAUACCGGAUACGGUCGAGAGGCGAAAGAUUUAUCGCCGGAGGAUUGGCCCGCGUCCGAUUAGCUAGUUGGUGUGGUAAUGGCGCACCAAGGCGACGAUCGGUAGCUGGUCUGAGAGGAUGAUCAGCCACAUUGGGACUGAGACACGGCCCAAACUCCUACGGGAGGCAGCAGUGGGGAAUAUUGGACAAUGGGCGAAAGCCUGAUCCAGCCAUGCCGCGUGAGUGAUGAAGGCCUUAGGGUUGUAAAGCUCUUUCGCCCACGACGAUAAUGACGGUAGUGGGAGAAGAA
rnacentral:rRNA from 1 species